GAAUCUUAUAAGAGGUCCUGCCUGCCCAGUGACUAUAUGUUCAACGGCCGCGGUAUUCUGACCGUGCGAAGGUAGCGUAAUCACUUGUCUUUUAAAUAAAGACUGGUAUGAAUGGCCCCACGAGAGCCUUACUGUCUCCCUUAUUUAAUCAGUGAAACUGAUCUUCCCGUGCAGAAGCGGGAAUAUUACCAUAAGACGAGAAGACCCCAUGGAGCUUAAAACUAAAAAUCACCUACUCAAACAUCUUUCCCAUGGGAUUACCUUUUAACCCUGUAGAGAAUGAUUUAAGUUUUCGGUUGGGGUGACCACGGAGAAAAGAAAAUCCUCCUUGAUGAAUAAUUAAACCACGAGCCACCGCUCUAAGUAUUAGAACUUCUAACUAAAUUGAUCCAAUAAUUUUGAUCAACGGACCAAGUUACCCUGGGGAUAACAGCGCAAUCCAUUUCAAGAGUCCAUAUCGACAAAUGGGUUUACGACCUCGAUGUUGGAUCAGGGUAUCCCAGUGGUGCAGCCGCUACUAANGGUUCGUUUGUUCAACGAUUAAAACCCUACGUGAUCUGA
rnacentral:rRNA from 1 species